AGCGAACGCUGGCGGCAGGCCUAACACAUGCAAGUCGAACGAACCUUUCGGGGUUAGUGGCGGACGGGUGAGUAACACGUGGGGACGUGCCUUUAGGUUCGGAAUAACUCAGGGAAACUUGUGCUAAUACCGAAUGUGCCCUUCGGGGGAAAGAUUAAUCGCCUUUAGAGCGGCCGCGUCUGAUUAGCUAGUUGGUUGAGGUAAUGGCUCACCAAGGCGACGAUCAGUAGCUGGUCUGAGAGGAUGAUCAGCCACAUUGGGACUGAGACACGGCCCAAACUCCUACGGGAGGCAGCAGUGGGGAAUCUUGCGCAAUGGGCGAAAGCCUGACGCAGCCAUGCCGCGUGAAUGAUGAAGGUCUUAGGAUUGUAAAAUUCUUUCACCGGGGACGAUAAUGACGGUACCCGGAGAAGAAGCCCCGGCUAACUUCGUG
rnacentral:rRNA from 1 species